AACGGCCAUACCAUGUUGAAUAUACCGGUUCUCGAUAGAUCACCGAAGUCAAGCAUCAUUGGGUGCAGUCAGUACUUGGGUGGGUGACCACCUGUGAAUACCGCGUGCCGUU
rnacentral:rRNA from 1 species